rnacentral:rRNA from 1 species
GACGAACGCUGGCGGCGUGCCUAAUACAUGCAAGUCGAGCGGACGGAUGGGAGCUUGCUUCCACACCGUUUGCCGCCGACGGGGUAGGUACCCCUUGGCUACCCUCCUUUAAGGCUGGGAUAACCCCGGGAAACCGGGGCCUAAUCCGGAUUACUCUUUUCCUCACCAUAGGGCAAGCUUAAAAGACGCAUUUCCCUAUCACUUACAGUGGGGCCCGCGGCGCAUUAGCUAGUGGGUGAGGUAACGGCUCACCAAGGCAACGAUGCGUAGCCGACCUGAGAGGGUGAUCGGCCACACUGGAACUGAGACACGGCCCAGACUCCUACGGGAGGCAGCAGUAGGGAAUCUUCCGCAAUGGACGAAAGUCUGACGGAGCAACGCCGCGUGAGUGAUGAAGGUUUUCGGAUCGUAAAACUCUGUUGUUAGGGAAGAACAAGUGUCGGAGUAACUGCCGAUAUCUUGACGGUACCUAAUCAGAAAGCCACGGCUAACUACGUG